rnacentral:misc_RNA from 1 species
UGAAACAGAGAGAGGCAGCUGCGCAAAAGACUUGCAGAGCUGCCCCUCUCUCACACACCAUUCUUUUGCUUCUCUUGUGUGCGCGCAUGUGCGGGCGUGUGUCCCUGCCAAUACGCUCGCCGUAGUGCGGGCCGCAGCACUCCGCGUGCACACACAAUCCCUCUCACCCUGCCACAACUCUCCUACUUUUUACCUCCCUUUCCGCGGGCCAAGUCGCAAAAAAACCAUGAUUGGACUAAAGUCGAUGGCGGGGGUGCGUGACGUGGUCCGCGGCGGAUCGUGGCCGGCUCGCCUCCUCGACAUGUUCACCUCGCGCGCCGCGCAGGAGAGCUUUGAAUUUGAGGCCGUCGUCACGGACGCGUGCGCCGCAGCGAAUGUGGCAGUGCCGUCCGAGGCACACCUGCCGCACGCGCGCUGGUGGAAAAAGCUGUGUCGUGCCUGCCAGGACAAGACGGGCACCACAAAGCAUGGUAGUCAGCUGCUGCGCUCGCGGCUAACCAACGCCUUGGCUCAGAGGCUCGCCGUCGAGGAGGUGUACCGGCUGAAUGGUGGCGAAAUCGCAAAGGAGCCUGCAGUCGAGAACCCGAUCGUGAUAAUGGGUCUCCCUCGCUCGAACGGCCACAUGGCUGCACAUGUGCUGGCCCGCUCGGGCCUGUUCCUAACGCCGCGCCAGUGCGACACCUUGUCUCCGUCCCUCCUGCUCGACGUCGAGCGCCGUGACGCGUUUCGCAAGAAGUUCCGCGGCUUUUCGUAUCUGCACCCAGACUUCCUGUGCGUUCGGGUGCCGCAGGCGGACCAAGUCGACGAUGACCUUACCCUGCAUCUCAUGACGCCGCAGUCGUACGCGUGGGGCCUGCUUCACGGACUGGAUGAGUACCUGCUUGAGUGCCUGGAGGAGGAUCAGCUGCCGGUGUACACUGAGGUGCGUCGCGUGAUAGAACUACUUCAGUGGUACCGGAAGUGCGGGCACUUCUCCGAGCCUGUGACACGGGAGUUCGAUCCUAUCGACAAUGUGAUGGAGCUGCAAGCGUACGGCACAAAGAAUGUGUUGCUUCGCCCGCAGUGGCUGCUGUACAGCCCAUUCGCCAUCCUCAGCCCCGACGCUGUCAACACCGUCUUCCCCAAGAUGAAGGCUAUUUGGGUGCACCGUGCUCUUAGCCAAUGCUUGCCAUCCCUGUGCUCUGCGUUGUGUCUACACAACACCCUGUACACGGGCAAACCGCCAAGCGACUCGCAGCUGGCGUCCAUGGGGGAGAAGGUUUUGGGCAUUUUCGGCUCUGGUACCGCGUACGCGAUCGAGUACUACGGAAAGUUUGAUCAGCGCCGCAUGGCGCACUGGUCGAACCGCGAUGUGAAGCGGCAUGCGACGCGGGUGGCGACGAAGACCCUCGACUACUUUAGCAUCGAACUUGACCGCUAUCGCCGCAUGCAGAUGAUCAGCGGGCAGACGGAGUACGUGUCUGUCUCUCGCCCGCUGCACGAUGCGCAGAUGCCGUAUUUCUGCCUGCAUGACGGCGUCAUCGGCGACGUUUUCCAGGACUACAUAUACCAGUUCGCUGAGUUCGCGUUUGAGCGGAAGUUUGGCAUCACAGUGAAGGAGUACACCCCGCUUGCCGCGCCGGCCGACGCGAUGGCGAUGCGGGGUAUUGCACACGGAUCUAGCGAACCUCGCUCCGCGCCGGCACUUGGGGCAGGCCAGCCGAUGGUGGGGCACUUCCAACAAGAACGCAGAGGGUUUCGGUGAGACGAGCUGCGAGGCGAAGCGGAGAAAAGCGGCUACUCCACGGGGGCGAAGAGCGUCGCCUCUGCAUCUUACUGAUCUGUGUGAGGGAGCACUUGAGCUUCCCUUCAGACGGACACUUCCGCGUCCCUCGUGGCUCACAGGUGGUGCGUCCUUUAUAUGAUUGUGUAUGUGUCGCGUGUGUGCCGAGCA